UCAUAGUAAGAUUACACAACCAGCUGGAGGACAGCCCUUUGGGACAUUGGAGAGCACAUGCUCCUGGGCCAGGCCUGGGGCCGCUGGUCCCCCGAGCAAGUCUGCCUGUCUUCUGAGCAGAACUGUUCCUGGCUUGGGGGGCCUCUCCAGCCUGGCUGUGCUUCACCAAAGGAGAAGCUCUAUACCCUCCUGCUGCCCACUGUACAGAGACAACGCAAGGUGUUCAGAAGAUUCACAGGCAGCACGUGGAGUCUUAAUGGUCCAACAUUCUUUAACCACCUCUUGGUGUCACAGCUAAGAACGCUUGUCUCAAAACUCUGCCUGGAAAUCCAUCUCAGGAACUUGCUGCUGCUGAGAACGGCGCAGGUACAACUGACACUCAUGGUUGCUUAAGGAGGUGGUCCUUCAAGUUUCACUGGAUUGCCAGAAUGCUCUUCAGUCUGGACAGGGAAAAAUAACCCUACUGAGUUCACAUUUGUUAAGAAGAUGCCCAAGAAGGAACUUCAGGCUUCAAAAAGAGUUGUACGAGCAGGUAAGUUUGCUCGGGGCCUGGUGUUCCUCUGUCGCACACUGUAGCAAAUGGGAGACAGCCCUAGAGAACGGAGUGGGCAGAGGUUCUGAUUUUCAAGAGGGAAAACUCUUUGGGUCCUGCAAACUGAAAACCUAUGAGUGUGAGGGUGAGCGCCAAUGUAAUUGCAGUGUGGGCUGUUGAGCCAACAGUCUGUGUUCCCAAGGAAGAGGAGUCCAGCUUGCUGCAGAGCUGCAGGCUCCUCUGGAAACAAACCCUGCCAGUCUCACCUCCUCCCUUCUUCUAAUGCGGCGACAGGGCCUGUAGAUCAGGGAGACAUCAGUGAUGUGGCACAUCUGGAUCUUAGCAAGACAGCUGCCAGUCUCCCGUGACUGGUAGUAGACAGAGCUGGAGGAGUGUGAAGUCGAGGCACCGUGAGUCAGAAGUUUGCAUGAACCUGAGGAUGGCUGCUUGACAGUAACUCGGGGGAUGGAUCCAGUGGUGAGCAACAAGCUCUGCCCUAAGCCCUGCUGUCUUGGACACUUCUAAUCAAUAGCUUGAAGAUGAUGCCGUGUGGGAGGGUGAUAAUUUACAACUGGAGGCUCAGACAAACUGAAAUAAUGGGAAGAAUCUAAGAGGAUGAAAUUUGAGUAGAAUAAGUGGAAAGUUCUGAACUUCGGUUUAACAAAUCAAUGUCAAAGGGUGAAAAGGACUUAAGGAUUUUAGCUGAAUAAAAGCUCAUUCGAUCUUCUGCCAAACAUUUGGCAAAUUUUGAAAUGCACCAUGUCCCUGCACACCUUCGUACCUCUCUGUGGGGUGCUCCUUGUCCUCCUCCAAUGCACUUGCUGGAUUCCAGUCCACUCUUUAGGAGCCAGCUCACCACCCCAACCUGGGUGGAAUCAUUUGCAAAGGCGUGGACCACUCCCUUGCCUGUGCUUCUGGGGACACUAGGCACACUUUGUUAAAAUGACAACCCCUCCCUUCACAGAGCAGGGUGAUCGUCCACCGAGGGCCUGCUAACCAACACCAGCAGGAUGGAUCUUGCUGCUAAUUCUGUGUUUGUACAGGAAAUGGGCAGAAUUGAUUCCUACUUCUGCUCAUGCAGGACAAGUCAGACAGUUUGAAUGUAGGUUUCCAUUUUGGGUCUCCUGUUUCAAAGGGCGUAUGAGUCAGGCCAGAGUGAACCCCCAGAAAAGCAGGUGAGGUGGCUAAGGAUCUUAAUGUGAGGAAGGUGGGAAUGUCCAGCCACGGAAAGGGAAGGCCCAGGUGAGGAUGCACGGGCUGUCUUCCGGUGAUUGAGAGAACGUCCUCACUGUCAGGGACUUCAGUAACAUGAUGAGCCCUUGCACCUGCACCUACACAUCCAUGAUUUUCCUGGCGUAGAAGCAAUCUGGGGGUGGUGCUGAAGGGCCUGGCUGGACUCAGACUGGGCAUCCGGAUCCUGAGGGGCACACUUUUUAGCUUAGUGGCCUUGGGCAAGUUGCCUCAUCUCUUAUCUAUUUCCUUAUCUGUGAAAUAGAGAUAAAAAUAUUACCACCCAUAGGAAGCAAAAUGUGACAGUGCAGGAAAUGUGUUUAGAACAAAGUCUGCCUUAUUCAGUAAAUGUUAGCUUAAAAAAGCCCAGGGUGUGCCAUCCCCAAAGCCUGAAGUAGUUUGCUAUCCAAAGCCAGGGACACCAGAUAGAGAACCCC
rnacentral:lncRNA from 1 species